rnacentral:lncRNA from 1 species
UUUUGAAGAUCGCUCUCAUAUAAUAUAUAAGAAUUUGUAUUCUAGAAAUCGUACCUUGAAAAUUCGAGUUGGCUUUUUCCGCUGAAGUGAUUUAGGCUCCUAGAUCACGAUCCGCCACCACCACUCCUGUUAGAUCACGAUCCGUCACCACCACGCUUGUUAGAUCACGAACUGUCACCAAUGAUCUUCCAGGUUAUGACUCAGGUUCGAUCUGCACUUGACGUGUGAGCGCCUUUAUCACUACCAAAGCAACUAGCACGAGAAAAUUUUUCUCUCAACAAUAGAGAGAAAAAUCUUAUUCUCUGAUCUGUAUAAAGUGGCUUCGCUUUUUUCUUUAGAGAAAAUAAGCCUUUUAUAUCACCCUUUAGUGAAAACCCUAGGCUCCAAAUAAUGCCCUAAAUAAAACUCACGUUAUUUUCUUUUUCAAUAGGGGACCCACCUUGUAAAAUAACAUAAGGCCCCUUAUACAAAAGCUAAUUAAAUGGAGCCUCCCAUUAAAUGAUAUAUUUAGGCUUUUGACCCAAAUAGCUAGUUAUCUUACUUAUUAGUCCAGUAGUGGUGCAGUCAAUUAAAUGAGCUAACCCGGGGAUCAUUUGGGAACAUACAAUAGUGGCUACAAUAAUUAGGCCUGUAAUUAAACUAGCCCAAUUAUUUAAUUCCAAAUCUACUCCACUAAACGAUUGGAACUGACUUCCAUAAUUGUAUGCUCGAAUAAUAAUUCGUCCCAAGCCACAUUGAUUUCUUUACUGCACAAUCCUUUGUACCACAUCGUUAAUUAAAUUGAUAUCUCAACUGUCCAAUCAAUUUAAUAACAUCUUAUUCCUUGAUCUUUACUGGUUUUUUCUAAUGAUCAUUUUCAACAUACUAAAUAUGUUGACACACUCUGGCCAGAGAAUUCUAUGAUCAAGUGCCGAAAACCCAUCAAGAGAUGUGUUGUACAAAUUCUAUAUUGUUAAUCCAUAACUUCAAUACUCAUAAUUGCUCCCACCAAGAUACCGGGUAAUCUUGACCACAAGGAUGUGUCGUGCCCAUUGGUAACUCAAAUGGAAUAACAAUUACAAUCAUGAAAUCAUAAUUAACUCAAGAUUAAGAUUACAGUAAAAUCAACGCCUAUGAGAUUUAAUAAGUCUGACAGUUAUUACAAAGUUAAUUAAAUCUCAUAUGUGAUCCUGUUCAAUGUAGUCGUACUACAUCAAUAAAUUUAUACAUGAUUAAGACAAAUCAUUCAAUGAAUUUAUUACAGUCUAUACCUAAAUAAAGUGCCCAAUUUUAUUUAUCAACUGCGAACUAAAUUUAUUUAAUCAUAAGAUAACUUGUAUUUAUGUCUUCUGUGAAUCCACAUGGUGAUCACAUAAAUAAUAUAAUAUGAUUAAAUGGACUUUAAUACAAGUAUUAAUGCAAUUAAGAUAUUUGAAUAAAAUACCUCAUUUAUUUUAUUAAUCAGAAAAAUAGUUUAUUACAAUUAAAUAAACACAUAUGCUUUUAAAGAGCAUAUUUUCCCAAUAAUUAAAUGUAUGGCCAAGAUCAAAUUUACUCUUAGCGUUCCUUAUUUAAACAGAAGAACACAUCGCGUUGGCUCCUAACUAACUAAGUUUAACGUAGAACAAAUGGAGUUAAAUCCCCGUUAUAUAUUUCCUUUACACAUUCUGAUCUUCGAACAAUUUUUUAUUCUUGAAAAACUAUUCAGAAAUUCAUGAUUUAACAAUAAAGUUCUCAAAUCCUGGAAGAAUUUGCGAGUCAAUAAUUUUCAGUUGACAAAUUGAAUUAAAUCCAAACGAUUGAUCAGAUCUCAUGCCUCCUAACAAAGAAUAAUACUCCACGUGCACCAUACAACCAAUGUAUUUAACUUAUGCUGCGUUUACUAAACGGGAAUCGGAAUGGACUGAAAUCGGAAUGGAUAAGAAUGGAAAUGGACUGGAAUCAGAAUGGAGAAUAGGAAUCUGAAUAAGUAAAUUGAACUGUAGGAAUCGGAAUCGGAAUGAGCUGGAUUCCAUUAAUGCAUUUACUUUGUCUUCGAAUCAAAAUCAAAAUGAAUUAGAUGGUAACAAAUUACUAAAAAAGUCCUUCCUAUGAUGAUGCAGUUAAUAAUUUAUAAUAAUAAUUAUUAUUGUUACUAUAUUAAUUAAUCAUAUUCAUAUAUUGCUACUGUUUACUUAAUUAUAAUUUAUCAUUAAUAAUAAUAAUAAUAAUAAUAAUAAUAAUAAUAAAAUCAUCAACAAAAUAAUAAUCCAUUUAAAAAUAAUAAUAAUUGGAUUCAUCAUCAUCAACAAAAUAAUCCAUUAAAAAAAAUAACAAUAAUAUUCAAAUCAGAAUCAUCAUCGUCACCAACUACAACGGCAACAACAAAUUAUCAUCGGACCAGAACCAUGGGCAUUGAAGAUGAAAUCACGGCGAAACAGAGACGAAAUGAGAUGGGGAUGAAACUGAGACGGAGACAAAAUCAAGACAGCCUAACAGAUAUGAAACCGGCAACCAGUUGCGGUCCACAGUCGACAGACCAGCGACGACAAAGAUGGUGGAUGAUUAUGGCUGUGAUGGUGAUAGAAGCACCUGUAAUGGCGUUCGACUGGGAGUCGGGUGCAAGAGAGUUUAGGUUUUAGGAUUUUUAGUUUUCAUCAUUUUUUGCUAUUUAUAUUUUUUAUUUGAAGUGAGGGCAUUUUCAAAAUAAUGAAUAAUUAAUGGGGGUAGAAUGGGAAAUUCUAAGACUGGGAGUCUGAUUCCCAAGCCUCCCCUUGGGAAUCAUAUUCCCAUUUCUAAUUCCCAAACUACUGUGGGGCCCACCAAAAUAAAUAUCAUUCCUUCUUUUAUUUUGCCAAGUAAACACGAAUUUCAUUCCAAUUCUGGAUUCCAGAUUCCUAUUACUAAAUCUGGCUAGUAAAUGAAGCCUUAAGGUGGAAGAAAAUGGGGCAAUAGAUAAAUUCUAAGCUGACUACAUUUACAAGUGAUAUUAUUAGAAUGGGUAAAUAUUCGUUUAAUCUCUAUA